rnacentral:sRNA from 1 species
UGCCGCAGGUUUAUAACAAUUCUACUCAGUUGAUCAUUUCAUUUAUCUUUCAUUAAUCCACUCAAUCCACAUCUCAAUCCACAUCUCAAUCCGUGUUUUAAUUUAUGUUCUAAUCUGUAUCUCAAUUUGCAUCCCAAUCCACUGCCUGUAUACAUAUUUCAUAAAAAAGAGGUUUUUAUAGAGGACAAGUGGAGUGGAAGAAUAUUAGAGAUUAUAUGAAGGAAUUAUUAAAGACUAUAUAUAUAUGAAGUGGAAUUAUGAGGGUUAUAUAGAGGAAUUGGUAGAACUAUAUAAAUGUGAAGUGGGAUUAUAUUUGUGUGUAAAUAUGCAAG